rnacentral:rRNA from 1 species
ACAGAGACUGCAAGCGUUAUUCGGAUUCACUGGGCGUAAAGGGUGCGCAGGCGGUCGUGUGUGUCAGGUGUGAAAUCCCGGAGCUUAACUCCGGAACUGCGCCUGAAACUACACGACUAGAGCAUUGGAGAGGGAAGUGGAAUUCAUGGUGUAGCAGUGAAAUGCGUAGAUAUCAUGAGGAACACCAGAGGCGAAGGCGACUUCCUGGACAAUUGCUGACGCUCAGGCACGAAAGCAUGGGGAGCAAAAGGGA